rnacentral:misc_RNA from 1 species
UCCGAGUUGACCCCGGCAGUCUCCCGUGAGUCCCCACCACCCCGAAGGGCGUGCUGGCAACACGAGACAAGGGUUGCGCUCGUUGCGGGACUUAACCCAACAUCUCACGGCACGAGCUGACGACAGCCAUGCACCACCUGUACACCGACUCAAGGAGGGACCCUGUCUCCAGGGUUUUCCGGCGUAUGUCAAGCCUUGGUAAGGUUCUUCGCGUUGCGUCGAAUUAAGCCACAUGCUCCGCCGCUUGUGCGGGCCCCCGUCAAUUCCUUUGAGUUUUAGCCUUGCGGCCGUACUCCCCAGGCGGGGCGCUUAAUGCGUUAGCUACGGCACGGAUCCCGUGGAAGGAAACCCACACCUAGCGCCCACCGUUUACGGCGUGGACUAC